AAAAAGGGCUUUUACCGAAUGGUACUCAGAGGUCCUUCGGGACUUCUGGGCGGAAUCGCUAUCAAGAGAUUUCGGAAGCACAAUCUUUGGAAAUUAUGGCUGUUGGUUGCCUCUAGCACUGACGCCACA
rnacentral:snRNA from 1 species